rnacentral:rRNA from 1 species
GAUGAACGCUGGCGGCGUGCUUAACACAUGCAAGUCGAACGGUGAAGGCGGAGCUUGCUCUGCUGGAUCAGUGGCGAACGGGUGAGUAACACGUGAGCAAUCUGCCCCUGACUCUGGGAUAAGCGCUGGAAACGGCGUCUAAUACUGGAUACGAGCUGCGAAGGCAUCUUCAGCAGCUGGAAAGAAUUUCGGUCAGGGAUGAGCUCGCGGCCUAUCAGCUUGUUGGUGAGGUAAUGGCUCACCAAGGCGUCGACGGGUAGCCGGCCUGAGAGGGUGACCGGCCACACUGGGACUGAGACACGGCGCAGACUCCUACAGGGGGCAGCAGUGGGGAAUAUUGCACAGUGGGCGAAAGCCUGAUGCAGCAACGCCGCGUGAGGGAAGACGGCCUGCGGGUUGUAAACCUCUUUUAGCAGGGAAGAAGCGAGAGUGACGGUACCUGCAGAAAAAGCGCCGGCUAACUACGUG